CAUGGAGAAAACACUCCUUUCCGUACUUGUUGUCGCUGUGUGUCUAGGCGUUUGCUCAGCACAGUUGUCGUGUCCUGAUCGAUGCUUGGAGCUAUCAAAUCAGAUACGUGGUCCUGAUUUUUCCUUAGGUGAUCUCUUCAGAUACCUUACCUUUGCUUGUUGGCGAUGCAGUAACUACCAGACAUCAAUGACACCUACAACAGCGGAAUCAGCAACAACAUCUACGGAGUCGUCUUCAGAUACAGAGACGACAACGUCCGAGGGCAGUGGGUCGGCACGCAUCAACGCACGACCACGCCUACACAGCGCUAGCGUGCGGCCUUCACUCUCCAGUGCAGGGUCUCGCAUCAAUGCACGACGGCACCUAUCCAGCGCCAGUGUGCGACCUUUACUCUACGCUUGAGGUUACAGUCGCCAAAACAGCUAAGACAUUCCCUGA